GCGCUGCAUUAGCUAGUUGGUAAGGUAACGGCUUACCAAGGCAACGAUGCAUAGCCGACCUGAGAGGGUGAUCGGCCACACUGGAACUGAGACACGGUCCAGACUCCUACGGGAGGCAGCAGUAGGGAAUCUUCCGCAAUGGGCGAAAGCCUGACGGAGCAACGCCGCGUGAGUGAUGAAGGUCUUCGGAUCGUAAAACUCUGUUAUUAGGGAAGAACAUAUGUGUAAGUAACUGUGCACAUCUUGACGGUACCUAAUCAGAAAGCCACGGCUAACUACGUGCCAGCAGCCGCGGUAAUACGUAGGUGGCAAGCGUUAUCCGGAAUUAUUGGGCGUAAAGCGCGCGUAGGCGGUUUUUUAAGUCUGAUGUGAAAGCCCACGGCUCAACCGUGGAGGGUCAUUGGAAACUGGAAAACUUGAGUGCAGAAGAGGAAAGUGGAAUUCCAUGUGUAGCGGUGAAAUGCGCAGAGAUAUGGAGGAACACCA
rnacentral:rRNA from 1 species